rnacentral:lncRNA from 1 species
AAAAAAUGGAUUAAGGAGAUACUAAAAUCAAACACAAAUAUGACUGUCAAAUUUCCAUAUUUCAAGAAACUUCUGCGAACUGGUUAUUCAGUUCUAAUUCUUCCUGUCAAUCUUAAAUGCAUACAUUUGUUUGAUUGAUUUUGUGUGUGUGUGUGUGUGUGUGCUGGGAAUUGAAUCCAGGGGCACUUUACCACUGAGCUACAUUCCCAGCCCUUUAUAUUUUUUAUUUUGAGACAGGUCUCAAUAAGUUUCUUAGGGCUUCACCAGUUGCUGAGGCAGACUUCGAACUCGGGAUCCUCCUGCCUCAGUGUCCAGAGUAGCUAGGAUUAUAGGCAUGAAUGCAUGCAUCACCAUGUCCAACCUUGAUUUAUUUUUUAUAAAUUAAAACUUGCUAGGUAUUCUUAUUGCAUAAUUUUUAUUCAUAAAAAUUGGACUAGGUUUAUUUAGUACAACUUUUUAAAUGUUUUUAGAAACUUCAUUUAUCUCCAGUGUUAGUCCUAAUCAAAUUUAUUGCUCUGUACUUGAUGAUACCUUAAAGGAGAUAGUGGAGGAUGAUGGGUGUUAUUUUUUUAAAACUUUUACAUUGAAAUCUUUAAGCCACUUUUACACAGUCAUUGUAGUACAGCUUACUUAAUUUUAUUGUCUCUGUUUUGUACAAGUGACUUGAGAACAUCCAGGGCACGACUUCUUGAAUUAUUCACUGAUUUGAGCUGUAAUCCAGAAAUGAUGAAGAAUGCAGCAGAUUCAUACUUUUCACUCUUACAAGGUCAGUUACUUGUAUGAACUUCUCAGCUAAAAAAUAAAAAAUUAUGCAGAAGUUAAUAUUUAACUCUUAUACACUUUUCAAAUUUGGACAGUUUAAUUUCCAGGCCAUACUUGUAUGCUUGAAUUUCAAAAAUGUGAGAGUGUAAUGGUAGUGUGUGGUUUAACAUUUUGAGAAUUAAAUAUGUACAUAUUUUAUAUUACAUUAUCUCAGAAAAAGGUGUGGGAUGUGGGAAGAGAGAAGGGGGCCAAAAAAAUUCAUUCAGGCACCUGGAAAAGUAAUUAUCUGAAAAUAUGUCCAAAUAGAACACAUGAUAUUUAUUCUAAAUCUAAAAUGUCUUGUAUCUUUUUGUAGGUUUCAUAAAUUCACUGGAUGAAUCUACCCAGGAAAGCAAGUUGCGAUAUAUUCAAAAUUUCAAGUGGACUGAUACGUUGCAAGGACAUGUUCCAAGGUAAGCAAUGUUAAUGUACUAAAUGGAAGCCAGUUUUUGUAACUAUAUAGCCAGCCAUUAACUCAUAGAUUCUGUAUUUGAAGAAUAAAAAUAAGGUCUGAUCAGCAUUUUCUCUUGUCAGGAAAUUAAUUAGAAGCAUUGGAUUCUAAUUCAAAUAUAUAAUAUUAAGUAAAAUUAUUAGUUGUUUCUCCCAGAGCAUGUCUAUUUUUUAUAAACUCAAUACAAACACUAAUAAAAAUUGAACAGUCUUAUUUUAAUAAGACACAAAGAAUGUUUUAGAAAUUUGAAACCUAAACUGACUUUCAGUCUUUGCCUAUCUUCAAGCCAAACAGAAUUUUGGUUUUCCCCUACUUUCUUUUUCUAAGGGAUAGUUCAGAAUACUUUGGUCAGUCUGUAUCUGUCUUCUUAACUCCAUAGUCUUUUGAUUCUAGAUAUUUGGUUUUUUAUUUCUUUUUACUGUUUCUACUCUGUUUACAAACUUUCCUUCAGAGCUUUUUCAUCACUCACUUGAAACUAUCUAAGAUGAAAUUAUAGCAGGAAAUAUGUCAUAGUAUUAACUUUAUUCAAUUACUUUUUUUGUUUUUAAACAUCUUUGAAUUAUUAAAAAUACCUGUAUAUUUUCAUCUCAAUUUGCUGUAGAAUUACUGUUUUGUAAGAAAGAAAGGGCUGGGCAAUUGCUGGAAGAACAGGGCAAAUAGUGCAUUAUAUAGAAAGAGAAUGGAGGUUGAAUUUACACAUAGCAUCUAGGUAUGUAGCACAGCAUCAUACCUAGAUGCUAUUCCACGUUUUCUGCAAAGGAAACAUCUGCUUCUUCAACUAGAUUUUGGUGUUAUAAGACUUUGUGAGGAACAAAUAAGAAAACUUAGGUUACGUGAAUAAUAUUAUAAUGCCAGGCAUUUAAGAAGACAUUCACUAAAUGUUAAUUCAUUUUUUUCCUUGGGAAUAUCUCGUGUAGAAUUUAUAAUUGGAUAGGAAGUAGGGAAGAUGGAUCCUUUCUAAAUAGUUUCAAGUUAAUAUUCAAACCUUUAUUAUUACUAUAGACUUUGGCAGAUUCUAAAAUGUUUUGCAUUGUGUAAAUUUGGCCUACCUACCAAAUUUUUAUUCCAUGUUACAGCAAGCUACUAUUUAUUGUGGGUUUUUUUUAGCAUUUUAUGAGAGAGUGAAAAAUUAUGUGAUGAAAACCUUAAGUAACACUGAAAACUUAGUACAUAUGAGAUUUCUAAUUUACUUUAUGCUUUAUUUCUACUUAUUCAGCUGAGAUUAUGCUGUGAAUCUUAUCUGCUCGGAAAAAUUAUUUCUUGGAUUAUAAAUGCUCUGACUGCUACUUAGAUGUGGUGUCACAGAAAUGGAUUGUUUUGGAACAAGGUGGAUUGAAAAAAAUGAGUAUAAAAAGAAAAGAGUUAUUCAUUAGGCUUCAUGUAAAUUAAGAAAACUGUCAUGUGAUUUAAAAGUAAAAUUAUAAAUUAGAAAUACACAGUAGAUCACAGGGUGUAAUUCAUUUGAAAUUUCUCAAGUUUCAAAAAGAAUAAGCUAUUUAACUGUGAAUAACUUUUUUUUAAGAUGGUAAAACUGUUUUGUGAGGUUUGUUUAUAAACUUUUUCAUGUAAUGUACAUGAAAAUUACAUUAAUUUAUGAAUAUAAUUUGUAAAUUAUAUUUAAAAUUAUUUAUAAAUUAACUAUCUAUAACUUAUUUUAAUUACAAUGUUUUCUAGCUUUCUGUGUGUGUAUGUGGUGCUGGUGCUAGGGAUUAAACCCAAGGCCUUACACAUACUAGGCAAGGGCUCACACCUCAUAAAUUUUGUUUGUUUUGUUUUUGUGGUACUGGGAACCCCAAGGCCUUGCACAUGAUAGGCAAGCUCUCUACACUGAGCUACAUCCUCAGCUCUUUAAUUUUUAUUUUGAGAACAGGUCUUGCUAAUUUGCCAAGCUGGUCUCAAAUUUGUAAUCCUUUUUCCUGGGAUUACAGGUGUGUGCCAGUUUGCCUGGCCAAAAUCAAUAAAUAAAAUACAAAGUAGAGACAUCCUUCAAAGCUUUUCCCUUUUGGUAACUUUUCAGUAUCUAUCUUAUUUUGCAUAAGGAUGUUAUUUCUGCUUUCUUAUUUCAUCAGUUGAAAUGAAUACGAUAGUGUGUAAAGAAUUUGCAGGUUCUUAAAAUGAUGGUGAAUAAAUUGGUGUUCAUAUCAUUUACUUAAUGCCAUUUGCCAUCUUUUAAUGUUAUAGUAAUAGAAUAGGAAGGAAAUAAGUACAUAUACUUGUUUUCAGGACCUUUUCUUUGUAAAAUACUGAUUCAAAAUCUUCUACAGUUUACUUCAUUUUGACAUUUCAUCUUUCUUUUCAUCCAUUUCUUUUUACACUAUCUGCUCUAAUCAAGCAGUUUGGGUCAAUUCUAUCAGAAAAAUCUUUAUACUUUCUUGUGCUUUGACAGCUUAAGUUUCUCACCUAGAAUGUCUUUUGCUUCCCUUCUAAUCAUCUCUCAAGGCACAAUUCAACUUUUAUAUAUACCAUUAAUCUUUUUGUAAUCAUCCUAGCCUAAAACUACCUCUCCUCUUAAUUCUGUUUUCUUAAUAUAUGGUAUAAGAACCAUCCAUUUCAGAAUCAAUUGAGUAUUUUAUAGAUUCUGGGCUCCAUUCCAGACUUUCUAGCUUUUUGAGGGUAAGUCCCAGAAAUCUCUGUUUUUAAAGCUACUCUAUCUACAGUAAUCUUUGGAAGUACUAUUCUUAUAUUAUUCAGUUGUAUAGUACAUAUUGCAUUACUAUAUUUAGCUAUUCAUUGAUAAUUAUUGGGUCUUAUCUCCCCAUCUAUAUUAAACACAGAACCAUUUUCAUUAUUCCUACUCACACAUGAACACACACCCAACCACUUACUUUGUAAUUCUGAGUUGGAUAUUCAAUAGGCUUCAUGUAGCAAUAGCUCAAUAAUUUUAUAGAACUCAGUUGGGUGUGGUGGCACAUGCCUAUAAUUCCAGCAACUUGGGAGAGCAGGAAAAUUGGAAGUUGGAGGCCAUCCUCAUCAAUUUAGUGACACCAUGUCUCAGAAUAAAAUAAAUAAAUAGAAAUGUCUAGGGAUGUAGCUCAAUGGUAAAGUGCCCCUCAAUGGUAAAAUCUCCAGUUCAAAAAAAAAAACCAAAAAAUUUACAGAAAAUAAUAAUCAUGUUUUUAAUUUCAGUGCCCAGCAGGAUGCUGUUUUUGAAUUAAUUUCCAUGGGAUUUAAUGUAGCUCUGUGGUAUACCAAAUAUGCUUCAAGACUGGCGGGAAAAGAAAAGUAAGUUAAAAGAGAAAGGGUUUAUGUAUGUAAUAUGAUGUUUUUCAAAUAUUUUGAGUUUCAUUAUAAAAAGUUUAGGCUGUUGAUUAAAGAAUACCGUGUUGAGUGAGUGCACAUAUUUUAAGUUUUAGAAUUAGGGAGCCUAGUGUUAAGAGAAGAAAAAAUUUUAAAAUAAUCUUGUAAUGUGAAAGAUUUUCCUAAAUAAGACUCCAUACCAAGAAACUGUAAAAGGAAGGAUUGAAUAUUUGUCCGCUUAGAAGUCCUAUGAACAUAGCUUAAGAAGCACGUGACAGAAUUGGUUUAAAACAUUGCAAUGCAUAUGGUGAAUUAUUCAUUUCUUAAAAUGUAUACUCUUACAAAUCAACAAAGACCAUCAAAUUAGUUAAAAAUAAGCAAUGGACAUGAAUAGGCUAUUCAUAGAAAAAGAAAUGCAAAAGGUUUUAAGUAUAUGAAAAGAUCUUGAAGGUCUAAAAGAAUUACAAAAUAAAAUGAGGUGAAAUUUUUAUAAUAGCUAAAGUGUCUAGAGCAAUAGGAAAUUGGCAAAAUUGUUAUAAUUUAUCCAUACAUAGGAAUAGUAUGAUACCAUUGAAAAAUGAAGUUGAAUCUUGUGUACUGAUAUAAAAUUAUCUCUAAAGUGAUUAAAAUUAGGAGAGUAGCGAAUAUAGAU